GCGCAGGCAUACGCCAAGCAUUGGAGACCGGCCCACGUGUACUGUGUUGACUGUCAAAGUCUCAAAGUACUCAGUAUCCGGAAGCCCUGCGUUCUGACCGAGGUUCCUGCGCAUCCGCCGGUGAGACUCCUGGCCAGACUGCGCCUACCGAAUCAUGAGUGCCGUGGGCGUACUGUCUUUUGCCCAGCAAGGCUGGGAGCAGGUGCUGGCCAAAGUGAAGUGGUCCGUGGUCUACCUGGACGCUGCCUGCGCGGAGAGCCUGCACUGGAGCUGCGGUUCAAGCAGGCUUCUGGAGGCGGUGAAGGGUCCUGCGUGCAACCUGAGGGAAUUUGAACCCCAUGCAAUAGGCGGUGGGGCCAAGCAGCCCCGGGCGGUGUUCGUUUUGAGCAGCCUGCUGAAAGGCCGCAUAGUAGACACUCUACAAGACAUCAUUUGCCGCAGUCACUUUCAGCACUGUGUGGUGGUCACAGCCGUGAGCCACCCAGUCCACCUCACUGCUAACCAUGUACCAGCAGCUGCAGCGGCCGAGCUAGAGGGGCAGCAGCCGGUGUUCGAACAGCUGGAGGAGAAGCUCUGUGAGUGGAUGGGCAACAUGAACUACACAGCUGAGGUGCUCCACGUCCCGUUGUUGCUCGCCCCUGCUGCUCCCCACCUUGCCUUUACUCCAGCCUUUGCUACCCUUUUCCCACUGCUACCUCAGGAUGUGCAUGUUCUUAAUAAUGCCAGACCCGACAAGAGGAGACUGAACAGCUUGGGUGAGGUGGAUGCCACUGCCCUAACCCCAGAGCUGCUGCUGUACAUUAGAUGCCUCGUGUCAGGCCUCAGUUCUCUGUGUGAACAUCUAGGGGUACGAGAGGAGUGUUUCGCUGUGGGUUCCCUCAGUCGGGUCAUCGCUACAGAUCUGGCAAAUUAUGCCCCUGCCAAGAACAGGAGAAAGACUGCUACAGGCAGGGCUUCCGUGGUCUUUGUGGAUAGAACUCUGGAUCUCACGGGAGCGGUUGGACACCAUGGAGACAACUUAGUAGAGAAGAUCAUUUCAGCACUUCCACAGCUUCCGGGCCACACCAACGACGUGAUGGUCAACAUGGCAGAGCUCACGGCUGUCCAGGCUGUGGAGGAAAACCAGACCGUGAUUGCACCAGGCUGCCUUGCGCCAUCCAAUGAUGCCUCAGCCAAGGCCCUCUGGGAAGCCUUACUGAACACCAAGCACAAAGAGGCGGUGAUGGAAGUCCGGAGACAUCUAGUGGAAGCAGCCAGCAGAGAGAACCUGCCCAUCAAGAUGAGUAUGGGGAGAGUCACUCCAGGGCAGCUCAUGUCCUAUAUUCAGCUCUUCAAGAACAACCUCAGAGCUCUUACAAAUCAUUGUGGGCUUCUACAGCUAGGGAUGGCCACAGUUCAAACUCUGAAGCACCCACAGACUGCCAAGUGGGAUAACUUCCUGGCAUUUGAAAGGCUUCUUCUACAGAGUCUUGGGGAUUCAACCAUGGCUGGUGUGCUAAAUCAGCUGCUACCCUUGAUUAAGUCCUCAAGCCAGAGAACCAGGGACGACUACAGCCCCGAGGAGCUGCUAAUCCUCCUCAUAUACAUCUACUCGGUCACUGGGGAAUGCACGCGGGACACAGACCUGGGAGACGUGGAAGAGAAGGUGAGGAGAGCACUGGCCAGUGUCUUCUCUGAGGAGUCUGAGCUGUCCCCUUUGCUGCAGAAGAUCACAGGCUGUGACUCUGCAAUCGACCUGACAUUGCCCAAAUCCCAAACUGCUGUGAAUGAUGUCUUCACGGCUCUCCGGGAGAUCGCUGGAGCUAGGAAUCUCCUGAGACAGUUCAAAUCGGUGUAUGUUCCUGGAAAUAGUACCCAUCAGGCAGCCUAUAAGCCACUGUUGAAGCAGGUUGUGGAAGAAAUAUUUAAUCCUGAGAAGCCAGAUCCCAUUGACAUUGAACAUAUGUCCUCAGGCCUCACUGAUCUCCUUAAAACUGGAUUCAGCAUGUUCAUGAAGGUGAGCCGGCCCCAUCCCAGUGACCAUCCCCUCUUGAUCCUCUUUGUGGUGGGCGGCGUCACAGUUGCUGAAGCCAAAAUGGUCAAAGACCUUGUAGCAUCUCUGAAGCCAGGAACCCAGGUGAUGGUGCUGUCCACAAGACUCCUGAAGCCACUUAACAUUCCUGAGCUGCUCUUUGCAACUGACCGGCUACACCCAGACCUUGGCUUCUGACAUCUAAGAGAAGAUUAGACCUGUUUGAGCUGGAAAUACCAAUACCCAUUGGUCACCGCUCCAGAUAUGCCUCCAAAGGCUGUGUCCCGGUUACUAAUUAUAGGGGAGAAGAAAAAAAACGACUGAACUUGGAAUCAUUUUCAGAUGCUGCAGCUCAGUUUUAGAGACCAGAUGUUCGUGCUCAUGCCCAGUCGUUCUAUACCUGCACCAAGUCUCUGCCGCUGCUGACUGCGAGGCGGCUCCUUUUUCAAUCCCACGAAUCUAAAAGUCUUAUAUUUGAAUAAGGGGAAAAUGUAAACAAAUUAUCUAUAAGGAGAGAUAAGCACUUCCUAAAAUAAAGAAAUUGAAAGUGUCAGUAUGACUCAAAACCAUAUUCAUCCAACCAUCCAUUCUCAAAUUUGAGUGGGAACCCAGGAGAACAUUCCAGAUUCUGAGCCAGGCUCAUGGCGAGCCAGCCACUACUGUGGCUCCGUGGCACUCUCAGGAUGAACAGCCUCUGCUUUGCCUCAGGCCUGGGUCUCUUGUGGAUUUCUUCUCCUGGUUAAGUUUCUCAUCAUGUGUCUACAUGCAAAAGAAGUCUGAGAACAUAGAACCAAACUGCUAACUAGUGGUUGCCUCUGGAAGACACAUCAAGUGGGAAGUUAGGAAGGGGGCGGGUACUUUCAGCUUUUUACCCCAAGGGUCUGUUAGUGUAUAGGUUUUGUGAGUUUAGUAGUUUAUCUUGGCAAGUUGUUUCUUACCUAGUAAAAGCGUAUUCAGAGGUGUCCACUAUUACCAUAAUAGGAUAAAGUUACUGGUUAUGUUAGCGUUCUAGAAUAUUCUGACACAGCAGUAAGUAGGACCAUAGCUGAUGUCUGGGUAGCUGGGAGAAGCAUGAAAAGUUUAGUUCCCCAUGUCUGCAGCUGCUGGUUGGAAGAGCUGGGCCAGUGGGACAGUCAGGGGAUAGAAAGCUUUGGACAUCAGUGAGCUGGAGGAAGUCGGCGAUAACCAGUCUGGUUUGAAGAAGACUUGAGGAAAACUUGGUUUUGGUCCCACCAGUGGCCAUCAACAAGAAAGAGAACGUGGAGGACGCGGGCAGUGGAGCCUGUGCCAGUCUGGGGCACUCUCAGGUUUGUGCUCGAUUUCUAGAUGAGGGAAGGAUUAGGAGGGUGCUAAGAAGGCCCCUGCCCAUGCGCAGGAACCAUGGGCCAGGGCUGUGGGGCUCUCUCUGACUUUAUGUUCCAGUUGCACCUCUCAGAGCACUGUGGUUAUCCAACCAUGCACCAACAUUUGUGAACUAGAUGGUGCCGGUGCCUCCUUCCCAGAGGGCUGCCAGGGAGUCUACUAGGAUGGCUGGUCCAUAGCCCUAGGAAGCAUGGAUGCUCCUGCUGAGGGCACCAGUCAGUUACCUCACAGAGUGACAAUGCAUCGGCACGGCAAGGGGAGUAAGCGAAGAGUGACGUCAGAGCGAAGAGUGAUGUCAGAGCGAAGAGUGACGUCAGAGCGAAGAGUGAUGUCAGAGCGAAGAGUGAUGUCAGAGCAAAAAGUGACAGCAGAGUGAAGAGUGACGGCAGAGGCAUUUCUGCAAAGAAGAAAAAUGGAGAGGAAAUAAAGUCUCCUUCAGCCCAGGCCAUUCAAGCAGAAGGCCAGUCAGGAACACAUUUCCCAAGUCUGGUAGUUCAUUUGUCUGGUCUUGGCUGACCAUGAUUAGAUGCCAGGAGGCCAUGCUACUCUGGGUGACAGUGCAAAUUAAGAGUGACUAUGCAUCUAAUACUUCGAAUAUGGACCAGGGUAUGCUGCUCAGUGAAUGGCCCCUUGUUCGCCAGCAUUCUGUCACCGAGACAAAAUACCUGAGAAUGUCAGCUCACAGGAGGAAAACUGAUCUUAGCUCACAGUCUUGGGGGUGUCAGUUCACAGGCACUUGGCUCUGACGUUUCUGUGCCCGUGAGAGACAGAACAGCAUCCAUGGCAGAGAAUAUGUAGAAGGGAAGACCUGUUUGACUCAUGAGAGCCGGGAGCUUGAGGAGGAUUUGGAGGAAGGAGAAAGUUCAUACUUAGGAUGCAGCCCAGUGACCUACUUCCUCUGAAAAGUCCAGUUCUCACUGCAUCCCAGUGUUGUAGUAUGGAGGGAGUCGCUCAAUAGCUUAAUCCAUUAGUGAAAUCAAGCCACUCGUGGUCCAGUUACCUCCUCCCUGGAACCCCUCCUCUGUGUGCUGCUGCAUUGAAGACCAAAUUCUCAACCCAUGAGCCUUCGGAAGAGGUUUUGUAUCUAAAUAUAACAAUGUCUAAGAAGCAUCACUACUAGUGUUGAAUGUCGGAGAAUGUCAUUAAUGCCAACCAGAAAACAGUUAUGUUUUCCUCAUCAGUUCUGUUAUCCUCAGUUACUGUUCACCAUUUUCACAGUGUCUAGGUGUCUGCCUUUUAAAGGGACCUCCUCAAUAUUAGAUGCGUAGUCACUCUUAAUUUGCACUGUCACCCAGAGUAGCAUGGCCUCCUGGCAUCUAAUCAUGGUCAGCCAAGACCAGACAAAUGAACUACCAGACUUGGGAAAUGUAGCCACCUGAAAGGCCCAGCUGAGGAGCUGAGCGCCAGCGCCUCACAGACCUGAGUCUAUUUACCACCUAAACCUGCUGGCCAAACCAAAGCAAGCAUACACAGACCACUCUCCGGCCUCGGGCCCUGCAGCUACUUUUUAUAUAAACAGUUGAGAGCAGGGUAAAUGCUUUGUGGCAACUGAGGUCUGCUCCUUUUGGAAUCCUGUCCCUGUAAACAUAGAGUGCAGUCGGUGUUUGGAAGUACUCCACGCAGAGGGUCCGGCCCUACGCAGUUAGCUGUUUGUGCCAAGGCCCCUACAGUUACAGUGGCAUUUCCCUAGCAAAGAAUUCCAUACCCUGUCCCCCAGACCACUAUUGUUUCUUCUUACCCUGGUUACCAGACAUGGAAUCUCAACAACAAAUAGUCCAAUAUUACAAAUGUCGUCUGUUAGCUUGCCCAAGAAACAUCAAAACGCUCUGUCACUGCUCUUAAAGGAACUUCUGAAAACCAGAUGGUGGAGGGCACAGGCCCUGUCAGAAAGAGCGGGGGCUUUUAACAAAUAACGUUAGUCCCAUUCUCUUCUCCAGUUCAGGAACACAUGAGGGCAAUAAGAACUUGCUGAAACCGUCUUUCUUUAGACUUCCAGAGAAGUACCAGACAGCUUUCUGGGUUCUUUACUGUAAACAGGCAAGUGCUUCCCUGCUGGGCUGUUACCCUACCGGAGGUUCUGGGAGUUCUCCACAGCUGGGUGCUUGCCAUCUACUCCACUAAGCAAGACCAUGCGCCAACCGCCCCACUGUGGGGAUCCGCCCACAGCCGCUCCCUUGCCCAGAUUGAUCUUUUCCCUCUUGGGAUAAAAGAUCGACGCUGAAAUCUCUGCCCCCCUCCAUGUUUUUUAUAAAUAAGGGGCUCUCUAUAAACACAGCGAUAGCCCCUAAAGCUUGGGGUUCUGGGCUGCUGGACAGGCAAACCUUCUGGAGCUGGUUGAAGGCAGUUUUACAGCUCCCCUCCCUCCCUCCCUCCCACCCCCUCUGCCACUAUGCAACCAGGCCAGGCCCAGCCUAGGGCUGCAAAUGGUUUUGAUUUGAGGCUGGGAGGAAACUAGAGAGCCAGACAUCAAGACAGACGUGGGUUGGGCUCUGAGACAGACCGGCUGGGAGGCAGCCCCUCCAACCUGGGCAUCUUUAUUACCGAAGGGGGCUGGAGGCCAAAGCAGCCAGCAGCCUCAGGCUAAUGGUAACAGCAGAUGUGGACCAGUUGCCAGGAGUCCUGGGGCCACGCAGUAACUCAACCGGUAGCAGAAGGGAGGUGGGGGAAGCUGGGUGAAUGGGGCCAGGGAGGUAGGUUGGUCUGAGAAGGCCCAGAGCUACUGGGUCUGCGAUGGGGGGCGGGGCAUAAACUGGCAUCAGUAGGGUCCAGGAUUGGCUUCUUAAGAGCCCAGCCAAUUCCUUCCUUCUGUGUAUAGAAUACUAAAGAGAGGGUGGAGUUGGUGUACAGAAUGUCCUUGUUUCAAACAUCUAUUUCUGGCGCCCAAUCAGUCAGUCAGUAAGUGAAGUAGGGUGCUGUUACUGGCUGGCCCUAAGCUAGCAUAAUCUCAAGGCCUUGGUUUCCUCAUCUUAAAAUAGCAGUGAUAUAGCCUCCCUCAGGAGUCUCCGAAAGAUGAAGGAGGGCAUGUGCAACCUGAAUGUUGUAACUACUCAAUAAACCCUCUCCUCCGCCGCCAUAGCCCGGCCUAGAGGGAGAGGAGAUUGUUUCUCAGGCCAGAGACAUCCACUGGGGAGGGUAAGUAGAGAGAUGCUAGUAUUGAGACAGAUGAGAUUAAUGAAACCUUGCACCAAGCCUAUGCUGAGAACACAGCUGCUCCUGAAUUACAAAUAGUCAGUCCCACCUGAGAAGGUCAAGCUCGCCCAAGACGGCAGCCUAGAUUAGACUGGGGUGGUUCCCGCCUGAGAUUCCCAGAGAUCACUCCCUCUGCCUUCUCCACUUCAUCCCUCUGUAGCAGAAAGACCUGCCUAGGUGAAGUGAAAGGCUGAGUCUACUCAGAGGUCAGGAGAUGAGAGGCAGUCAUUAGUGCCAAGGGCAGGAGAUGAGAGGGCCCAGGCACACCCACCAGGCUGCAGAGGCUGGACAGAGUCCUACAGAGAUCCUUGUGGCUGAAUGGUAGGGAAGAGGAAGCAGGGGGCAGUAAGAAAUGGAAGUCUAGUUCCUCUCAGUCUUGUGCUACAAAAAUCAACCCUGUCCAGAGUUUCUUGUCUUUAUUGCGGAGCACGGGGUAGCCGAGGGUAAGUGAGCAAAGAACUGCUCACUUGUGCAGUGCUAACAACCACACAGGAGGAAGACAAGCUGAGUGGGUAGCCUGUCUCUGCCCUUGUACUGUCUCCAUUGUCUGUAGGCACCAUUUCCCACCAUGCUGCCAACACACACCCUUCUCAGGGGUGAGCUUAGGUUAGCUUUGAAGAGGUUUAAAAAAGAAAGCCUCAAGUUCUACAUAUAACAGAGCAAAGCUCUCAGAAGGUCACUGUCAAGAGCAGUCAGAUGGUCCCCUGGGAAAAAAGUGAGCUUAAAUAGCCCAGCCCCUAUCACCAGACUCCCAGCACACCCCACUGCUUUGCCUAUGUGGCAGGAUACAUCUUAUAUAUGAGGCAUGAUGAAGAAGUAACACUGAAUAUUCAAGACACUGACUUUAUGUGGAAACCUAAACCCUGCUUUUCUUUAUUUAUGAAAUCCUGUCAGCCCUCCCACACACCACCUUGCAGGGUUAUCUGGAGAACUAGCCAAGAGCAGUAUGAAGGGUGCCGCUCAAAUGGAAGAACGAUACCCUGCCCACAGAGAUGGAGACUCCUGAGUUUGCAGGCAACGUCUUCCAGGCUCCAGUGGCAGCAGAAGAGAGGUCUGCCAGCUGUGGCACACGUGUGUGACAAUAGCUCCAUGGGAACAGCCCCUGAACAGCUCCAGACCCACAGCUCUAAGCUCUUACUAUGAGAAUAAAGUGUAGCUUGCGGACACAGCAUGCCCCCAAAAGCUUCAGUAAGUGCGUCACGCAUGAAGUGGCACUGCUUCUGUGGAGAGGCUUCAUGCCCUCACAACUCUGCUGUGAUGUGCAGACAGACAGACAGCUCUCUUAGGUUCACCCAGAAGACCAUGAAGAAACGGAGACAUACAACUCUGGAAGAGAAAGGCCAAAUUACAAGUGACCAUGUUUGCAGGUUGUAGACCUCACGCUAUUGAAUUUGCUCUGCCAGGAUGUUUUGUACUGUGUAAAAUGUGGACAAUAAAAUGUACCUCGCUGAUCACAUGCUGUGAGGCAUAAGAGAUUAGCUCCUGGAAGGCAUAUUCCCUGACUCAACUUGCUCAAUAAACACAGGGUUCUAAAAGUCACUUCCUGGAAGACAGAAGGUAAACAUUUCAAUAAAGACCCAGUCAGAUGUCUGCUCUUAUCAAAUGAGAGAUUUAUUGUACAUAAAAUAAAUUAAUGACAGUUUGAGCCAAAGCAUAAACGGCUUCUUAAAGUGCAUCUGUGUAGGGGAUUUGGCAGGUAGCCUGCAGUCUGGUCACUCUUGAAGACAGCAUUUUACUAUCUCAGCCACCCAGCCACAACUCAGCCGGGCCCAGGAAGCAACCCAACGUCAUUGCUAUGGGUCGUUUACACAAACCACACCAGCAUCAAUUAACACUUUUUUCUGUACCUGAUGCCACAGUUUAAAGAAAAAACAAAACAAAACAAAACACCAACACACGACUAUACAUCAUCACAGUUGGGCAGCCCAUGGGUGAGGUUUCCACAGCUACUCCACAAAGGUACCCAUCCUGCGUCAGGAGAUCCAGCA